rnacentral:rRNA from 1 species
AGAGUUUGAUCCUGGCUCAGGACGAACGUUGGCGGCGUGCUUAACACAUGCAAGUCGAGCGGGGCUUAGUGGAAAGUUUACUUUUUACUUAGUCUAGCGGCGGUGAGUAACGCGUGGAUAAUCUGCCUGUAAGACAGGGAUAACGCCGGGAAACCGGUGCUAAUACCGGAUAACCUCUUUGAAUCGCAUGGUCUGAAGAGAAAAGGUGGCCUCUUUACAAUGCUACCACUUACAGAUGAAUCCGCGUCCCAUUAGCCAGUUGGUGGGGUAAUGGCCUACCAAAGCGACGAUGGGUAGCCGGCCUGAGAGGGUGACCGGCCACACUGGAACUGAGAUACGGUCCAGACUCCUACGGGAGGCAGCAGUGGGGAAUCUUCCGCAAUGGGCGAAAGCCUGACGGAGCAACGCCGCGUGAGCGAAGAAGGUUUUCGGAUUGUAAAGCUCUGUCUUCUGGGACGAUAAAUGACGGUACAAUAAGAGGAAGCCCCGGCUAACUACGUGCCAGCAGCCGCGGUAAUACGUAGGGGGCAAGCGUUAUCCGGAAUUAUUGGGCGUAAAGAGUGCGUAGGUGGAUUUACAAGCCUUUGGUGAAAGGCUACGGCUUAACCGUAGUAAGCCUUAGGAACUGUAAGUCUUGAGUGCAGGAGAGGGCAGUGGAAUUCCUAGUGUAGCGGUGAAAUGCGUAGAUAUUAGGAGGAACACCAGUGGCGAAGGCGGCUUUCUGGACUGUAACUGACACUGAGGCACGAAAGCGUGGGGAGCAAACAGGAUUAGAUACCCUGGUAGUCCACGCCGUAAACGAUGAGUACUAGGUGUUGGGUAGCGAGCAAUUCAGUGCUGCAGUUAACGCAAUAAGUAAUCCGCCUGGGGAGUAUGCACGCAAGUGUGAAACUCAAAGGAAUUGACGGGGGCCCGCACAAGCGGUGGAGUAUGUGGUUUAAUUCGAAGCAACGCGAAGAACCUUACCAAGUCUUGACAUACCGCGAUGAAUGGCGCUUAGCAGCGCAGGUCUUUCGGGACAGAGGAGACAGGUGGUGCAUGGUUGUCGUCAGCUCGUGUCGUGAGAUGUUGGGUUAAGUCCCGCAACGAGCGCAACCCUUAUCAUUAGUUGCCAGCGGGUAAUGCCGGGAACUCUAAUGAGACUGCCGGGGAUAACUCGGAGGAAGGUGGGGACGACGUCAAAUCAUCAUGCCCCUUAUGUCUUGGGCUACACACGUGCUACAAUGGCCGGUACAAAGGGCUGCAAACCCGCAAGGGGGAGCGAAUCCCAUAAAGCCGGUCUCAGUUCGGAUCGUGGGCUGCAACCCGCCCACGUGAAGCCGGAGUUGCUAGUAAUCGCGAAUCAGCAUGUCGCGGUGAAUGCGUUCCCGGGUCUUGUACACACCGCCCGUCACACCAUGGGAGUUGGGAGCGCCCGAAGCCAGUGAGCUAACCGCAAGGAGGCAGCUGUCGAAGGCGAGAUCAAUGACUGGGGUGAAGUCGUAACAAGGUAACC